rnacentral:rRNA from 1 species
CCUACGGGAGGCAGCAGUGGGGAAUAUUGCGCAAUGGGGGCAACCCUGACGCAGCCAUGCCGCGUGAAUGAAGAAGGCCUUCGGGUUGUAAAGUUCUUUCGGUAGCGAGGAAGGCAUUUAGUUUAAUAGACUAGGUGAUUGACGUUAACUACAGAAGAAGCACCGGCUAACUCCGUGC